rnacentral:lncRNA from 1 species
UGAUGGAUCGACCUGUUUAAUCUGUCCAUGAUAGAUUGGAUCGGAUUGAAAUUUUUUCAAUCCGUCAGUUAAAUGAGCUAAUCCGUCCUGAUCUACUUAGAGGCGGAUCAGGGUGGGUUGGAGUGGGUCGGGAAGGACCGAUCUGUCUUGAUAAUUCUAGUAUAGAAUAUAUUUAUUUUAUUUUAAUUAUUUAAUAUAAAAAUUUAAUAAAUAGGGGUACAUACGUUAAAGAUGGAAAUGGCGUGAGA